rnacentral:rRNA from 1 species
UACAUGGGGUGCAAACGUUGCUCGGAAUUAUUGGGCGUAAAGCGCACGUAGGCGGUUUGUUAAGUCGGAUGUGAAAUCCCUCGGCUCAACUGAGGAAGUGCAUCCGAAACUGGCAGGCUUGAGUACUAAAGAGGGUCGCGGAAUUCCCGGUGUAGAGGUGAAAUUCGUAGAUAUCGGGAGGAACACCGGUGGCGAAGGCGGCGACCUGGGUAGAUACUGACGCUGAGGUGCGAAAGCGUGGGGAGCAA